AGAGUUUGAUCAUGGCUCAGAUUGAACGCUGGCGGCAGGCCUAACACAUGCAAGUCGAACGGUAACAGGAAGCAGCUUGCUGCUUUGCUGACGAGUGGCGGACGGGUGAGUAAUGUCUGGGAAACUGCCUGAUGGAGGGGGAUAACUACUGGAAACGGUGGCUAAUACCGCAUAACGUCGCAAGACCAAAGAGGGGGACCUUCGGGCCUCUUGCCAUCAGAUGUGCCCAGAUGGGAUUAGCUUGUUGGUGAGGUAACGGCUCACCAAGGCGACGAUCCCUAGCUGGUCUGAGAGGAUGACCAGCCACACUGGAACUGAGACACGGUCCAGACUCCUACGGGAGGCAGCAGUGGGGAAUAUUGCACAAUGGGCGCAAGCCUGAUGCAGCCAUGCCGCGUGUAUGAAGAAGGCCUUCGGGUUGUAAAGUACUUUCAGCGGGGAGGAAGGUGUUGUGGUUAAUAACCACAGCAAUUGACGUUACCCGCAGAAGAAGCACCGGCUAACUCCGUGCCAGCAGCCGCGGUAAUACGGAGGGUGCAAGCGUUAAUCGGAAUUACUGGGCGUAAAGCGCACGCAGGCGGUCUGUCAAGUCGGAUGUGAAAUCCCCGGGCUCAACCUGGGAACUGCAUUCGAAACUGGCAGGCUUGAGUCUUGUAGAGGGGGGUAGAAUUCCAGGUGUAGCGGUGAAAUGCGUAGAGAUCUGGAGGAAUACCGGUGGCGAAGGCGGCCCCCUGGACAAAGACUGACGCUCAGGUGCGAAAGCGUGGGGAGCAAACAGGAUUAGAUACCCUGGUAGUCCACGCCGUAAACGAUGUCUACUUGGAGGUUGUGCCCUUGAGGCGUGGCUUCCGGAGCUAACGCGUUAAGUAGACCGCCUGGGGAGUACGGCCGCAAGGUUAAAACUCAAAUGAAUUGACGGGGGCCCGCACAAGCGGUGGAGCAUGUGGUUUAAUUCGAUGCAACGCGAAGAACCUUACCUGGUCUUGACAUCCACAGAACUUUCCAGAGAUGGACUGGUGCCUUCGGGAACUGUGAGACAGGUGCUGCAUGGCUGUCGUCAGCUCGUGUUGUGAAAUGUUGGGUUAAGUCCCGCAACGAGCGCAACCCUUAUCCUUUGUUGCCAGCGAUUCGGUCGGGAACUCAAAGGAGACUGCCAGUGAUAAACUGGAGGAAGGUGGGGAUGACGUCAAGUCAUCAUGGCCCUUACGACCAGGGCUACACACGUGCUACAAUGGCGCAUACAAAGAGAAGCGACCUCGCGAGAGCAAGCGGACCUCAUAAAGUGCGUCGUAGUCCGGAUUGGAGUCUGCAACUCGACUCCAUGAAGUCGGAAUCGCUAGUAAUCGUGGAUCAGAAUGCCACGGUGAAUACGUUCCCGGGCCUUGUACACACCGCCCGUCACACCAUGGGAGUGGGUUGCAAAAGAAGUAGGUAGCUUAACCUUCGGGAGGGCGCUUACCACUUUGUGAUUCAUGACUGGGGUGAAGUCGUAACAAGGUAACCGUAGGGGAACCUGCGGUUG
rnacentral:rRNA from 1 species